rnacentral:rRNA from 1 species
GACGAACGCUGGCGGCGGGCUUAACACAUGCAAGUCGAACGGAAAGGCCCUGCUGUUGUGGGGUGCUCGAGUGGCGAACGGGUGAGUAACACGUGAGUAACCUGCCCUUGACUUUGGGAUAACUUCAGGAAACUGGGGCUAAUACCGGAUAGGAGCUCCUGCUGCAUGGUGGGGGUUGGAAAGUUUCGGCGGUUGGGGAUGGACUCGCGGCUUAUCAGCUUGUUGGUGGGGUAGUGGCUUACCAAGGCUUUGACGGGUAGCCGGCCUGAGAGGGUGACCGGCCACAUUGGGACUGAGAUACGGCCCAGACUCCUACGGGAGGCAGCAGUGGGGAAUAUUGCACAAUGGGCGGAAGCCUGAUGCAGCAACGCCGCGUGCGGGAUGACGGCCUUCGGGUUGUAAACCGCUUUCGCCUGUGACGAAGCGUGAGUGACGGUAAUGGGUAAAGAAGCACCGGCUAACUACGUG